rnacentral:rRNA from 1 species
GCCAGACUCCUACGGGAGGCAGCAGUGGGGGAUAUUGCACAAUGGGGGAAACCCUGAUGCAGCGACGCCGCGUGGGUGAAGAAGCGCCUCGGCGCGUAAAGCCCUGUCAGCAGGGAAGAAAAUGACGGUACCUGAAGAAGAAGCCCCGGCUAACUACGUGCCAGCAGCCGCGGUAAUACGUAGGGGGCAAGCGUUGUCCGGAUUUACUGGGUGUAAAGGGAGCGUAGACGGCUGUGCAAGCCAGAUGUGAAAGCCCGGGGCUCAACCCCGGGACUGCAUUUGGAACUGUGUGGCUGGAGUGCAGGAGGGGCAGGCGGAAUUCCUGGUGUAGCGGUGAAAUGCGUAGAUAUCAGGAGGAACACCGGUGGCGAAGGCGGCCUGCUGGACUGCAACUGACGUUGAGGCCCGAAAGCGUGGGGAGCAAACAGGAUUAGAUACCCCGGUA